AUUGCAGUGACUCAAAUCUGUGUAGCCUAUCAAUGUGAGCCUAACUAAUUCAGAUAAACAGGAGUUAUUUUUCUCUACCUUUUUUUAACAUUACAAGUCACAAUAGAAAUUGAUAAUAGAUUUAACUAUUUAAAAUACAACACAGCGCCCCAUGGCCCCUUCUGUUAUGGGUGUAAGAUGGCACAGUGAUGCCAUCUGUUGGUAAAUGUUAAUUACUGCAACUCCAGUGUUUUUUACCGGUGUGCUUGAAAUACCCGGAUGUAUUGCAAUAUACGGAACAAGACUGGUUACUCGCAUCAACGCCUCUGUCUCGUCAUUUAACAUUCAAACACCUUCUGUUCGGUUUUCAUCCGUUUCUUUCUUGUUAAGCAUUUCCCCAUUCUUGAGUCAGACCUUAUGGGAAUGUGUGGGACAGAAGAGGAAUUUAUGACAAUUUAGCAUAGACAAUAGCUACAGUACUCUACUCUCACCAUGUCUACCAUUUAGGUUUAGCUAGUUAUGUUAUCCACUGCUAGCUAAUAACUUGCUAACACUAAUAGCUAGCUACCACAGAUGACAUUUUUAUAAUAAACUAGUAAGUUCGUCUUAAAAUUGGAACCACUAAUUUUAGUGUGCUGACAAAGGAUGAUAGUUAGCUAAUUUACCAGCUACCUAACUAGAGACUGAACAUGAGUUCAAAGGUUAGAUAGCUAGCUAGCUACCACGCUAAUCCCAAAAAACAUUCUAAACAAAUUGCAUGGAAUAUCAUGUCGAUGUUCGCUAACUAGCUAGCAAAUGUGAUCUAUUUAGCUAUAUCAUGCCAAGGAUUAUCUCGUGUUAAAACGUCUAGCAGAACGUCUAUAUUGAAAAAUACGUUUUAAAAUUGACCUAAUGCUAGCUAGCUAACGUUUCCUAGCCAGCUACUAUAGGUAGGACAGAGGUGCUAGUUGAGCAGCGGUGCUAAAUCCAGCAGAACUUCUGUAUUCAAAGGUGAAACAAAUUGCAUAGCGAAUUCACCCUCUCUACCCUGUAUCCUUUGAACAACGUUUUUGUCACGCAAUCUCUUGUCUGGACUUUGAACACUUCUCAUAGCCACGUUCAUCCUGAUUAUUUACGAUGCACUGUCACAUGAUGUAAUGAGGAGGCCCUGACAAGUCUGGCUGAGCAACCAGUAGGCAUGUCCAGAGUAGACGACAGAGGAUGGAUCCCACUACAUGAGGCCGCAGUACAGGAGAAGAAAAGUAUUCUGGUGAUCGUUUUCUCAGCCUCCCCCAGGGUGCAGGGCAGUGCCGGACUCUGAAGGGAGAAAUGCCUCUCUUCCGGGAGAAUGCUACAUUCCUGCUACAGAACGGAUGCUGUCCUGACCUCCAGAACGAUGAUGAGGAAUCUCCGCUCGUGGCAGGACAAAUGACCCAACACACCUCCAGGCUGUGUAAGGGCUAUUUAACCAAGAAG
rnacentral:lncRNA from 1 species